CCCUUAGAUGUCCUGGGCUGCACGCGCGCUACACUGAUGUGUCCAGUAAGCACCUAACCUCUUCCGAAAGGAACGGGUAACCUUUGCAAAGCACAUCGUGAUGGGGAUAGAUUAUUGCAAUUAUUAGUCUUGAACGAGGAAUUCCUAGUAAGCACAAGUCAUCAGCUUGUGCUGAAUACGUCCCUGCCCUUUGUACACACCGCCCGUCGCUCCUACCGAUUGAGUGCUCCGGUGAACAAUUUGGACUGCUUUGAUUCGAUUAGAAUUUGAAGCGGAAAGUUUAGUGAACCUUAUCACUUAGAGGAAGGAGAAGUCGUAACA
rnacentral:rRNA from 1 species